rnacentral:tRNA from 1 species
UGCCGGGUGGUGUAGCGGUAGCAUUUUGCGCUCUGAACGCAAAGAUCCUAGGUUCGAAUCCUAGCCCGGCAGCCA